CCGCCGGAGUCUCCUUGUAAAUUACGGGGAGGAGGGGUGCACAGUCCUUGGAUUGGGGACGAUGCUGAGAACAAACAGAAGCAUAAGGCGUAAGGAAGAGAGAAAAAUUCAAGACAGCUGUCCCGUUUCCGACUGGAAGAGUGGAAAACAGAUUUCACGGGGAACAGAAAAGGAACUGUCGUGCCUCGAGCAUGUGGGAAGACUUUAAUGGGCUCAAAGAACUGAAACUCAACACGAUCUAAGGAAGAAAUUAUGCCCCAACUUUUUUCCAAAAGAGCGUGCAUUAACAUCCAGUAUACAUAGCCACAUCUUCCAUAUUACUACAUCUACCAUCAAAGGAAGGGAGGCUAUAAUUAUAUACACAAGGCUGGCCGCGAUGGAAUUUCUGACUUAGCUGCUGACUGUCUCUGUUCCUGGGGGCCUGUGGCCCACAGUACUCACGGUAUUAUUGUGUUUCCAGACA